rnacentral:rRNA from 1 species
UGGGGAAUAUUGGACAAUGGGCGAAAGCCUGAUCCAGCCAUGCCGCGUGAGUGAUGAAGGCCCUAGGGUUGUAAAGCUCUUUCACCGGUGAAGAUAAUGACGGUAACCGGAGAAGAAGCCCCGGCUAACUUCGUGCCAGCAGCCGCGGUAAUACGAAGGGGGCUAGCGUUGUUCGGAAUUACUGGGCGUAAAGCGCACGUAGGCGGAUUGUUAAGUCGGGGGUGAAAUCCCGGGGCUCAACCCCGGAACUGCCUUCGAUACUGGCAAUCUAGAGUCCGGAAGAGGUGAGUGGAAUUCCGAGUGUAGAGGUGAAAUUCGUAGAUAUUCGGAGGAACGCCAGUGGCGAAGGCGGCUCACUGGUCCGGUACUGACGCUGAGGUGCGAAAGCGUGGGGAGCAAACA